CAGACCUCUGAUCGGGAAAGACUACCCGCUGAGUUUAAG
rnacentral:rRNA from 1 species